rnacentral:lncRNA from 1 species
UCUUUGAAACCAGUCUGAAAUUUCUGAUAAGCCAGAACAGCUGCAGUGAUCACUGCAGCCUUGCACCUUGUGACCCAACAAACAAUCAUCCCUCUUGCAUGAACAUUGAAGUGUACCAUCGUUUCUGUUGUAAGACAAACAUAUGGAAAAACUGAGGAACAAAUAGAUAGCUUGCCUUUGCAGGUGCCGAGUUGACUUAUCCUGACUCUCGACUAAAUCUACCAUGUUCAGUAAAAAUGGAGAACCUUCUAAACAAUUAUCUAGUUUAGCAAUAUGUUGCGAGAUAGGUUCAUGAAGAAGGUCAUGAAAGUACUGUCGAAGUAAUUUCAGAUAACAAACAAUACGUGAGCAAUCUUGCUGCAUGUAAGGUUUUAGCCGCAUCAUUACCAUCUGCAUCAAAAAAUGAAACAAGUGCGUCAAGCCAGAGUAACUAGCAACAAGUUACACAGGGGCCCUGGAUGUCAGAACUUACCAGAAUUUUGUGCUUUAAGUACUGAUAAAGACUUUUGGAGCCAUCAUGUUGCUCCUGUAAGGAAGCUGCUAUCUUGGGAACUAUAUCCACGAGUUUCACAUACAUAUCUUGUCCAUCUGUAC